GAUGAACGCUGGCGGCAGGCCUAACACAUGCAAGUCGAGCGGAUGAGAGGAGCUUGCUCCUUGAUUCAGCGGCGGACGGGUGAGUAAUGCCUAGGAAUCUGCCUGGUAGUGGGGGAUAACGUUCCGAAAGGAACGCUAAUACCGCAUACGUCCUACGGGAGAAAGCAGGGGACCUUCGGGCCUUGCGCUAUCAGAUGAGCCUAGGUCGGAUUAGCUAGUUGGUGAGGUAAUGGCUCACCAAGGCGACGAUCCGUAACUGGUCUGAGAGGAUGAUCAGUCACACUGGAACUGAGACACGGUCCAGACUCCUACGGGAGGCAGCAGUGGGGAAUAUUGGACAAUGGGCGAAAGCCUGAUCCAGCCAUGCCGCGUGUGUGAAGAAGGUCUUCGGAUUGUAAAGCACUUUAAGUUGGGAGGAAGGUCAGUAAAUUAAUACCUUGCUGUUUUGACGUUACCAACAGAAUAAGCACCGGCUAACUUCGUGCCAGCAGCCGCUGUAA
rnacentral:rRNA from 1 species